GGGCGGCACCGCCUGCGGAGCGGCCGAGCCGCCACGAGAUGGCGCACGAGGAGCGGCCAGGCCGCCCCUCAGCCCCGCUCCCGCCCCUCAGCCCCGGCGGGCACCGGCGGCAGCUCCUGCCGCCCCCAGGACGGCCCUCAUUUUGCCUUCCCAGGCUUGGCCCUCAUUUGCAAAGUCCUGGAAAAAGGAGGCGCCAGAGUUUUCUUGUGUUCAGCCACAGGCAGGGUUACAGUAAAUGGUUUCCUCUUGCUUCCUUCUGGGAUCCUGUGCCAGGGCAGAAGAGCCAUAACAGGACCUUCCUGGAUUCUGAGUCUGCAUUUAUGAUAAGAAUAGGAGAAAUGUAUUCACGAUGACCCCAAUCUGCACAAGUGUUCAGCUUUCCAGCCAAAAUUUUGGGGGACAAAAAAGAGGCAAGUCCAGACUUUCAGUUAAUCUUGCUAAACAGUUCAGUUGCUACUCACAGGUCUAAUGGUCAACACAGCCAUAUCAUCAUCUGAAUCCAACAGCACCAACCGACUUAAAAGCUGGUGCUUGGUUCAGCUCUAGGUUCUCUAAAAUUAACAACGUGUGUAAGGAUGCUGUUCAACCAAAACCCAAAGGACUUCCCUGGUUAUUCUCAUUCAAGCAUGCUCACUGAUAGUGAUUAUUAGCAAUAUCUUUUUUUAUAAAUGAUUUUUAUUUUCAAGAUAAGGUCCUAAAAAUACUUUUUUCUUAAGCAAUAAUGUCUAUGUUUAUGUGUUAUAUGAGGCAGAUGUUGGUUAAAAGCUUAAUUCUCACUUAUGAUAUCUUUCAGUCCACGAAAGGGUUGAUUAGUGUCCCCUAGCUGAACCAUUUUUUCCCUCUGUUGCUUUGACCCAUUGAUUUAAUUAAGGUCUAAUAAAGAGAGGGCUGAAAGAUUGUUAAAAAUCCUUUUUUUUUUUUCCUACAAAUCUGACCUAUGCUCGUCUGUCAGUGCAUUUUUGACUCGCACAUGCCCUCUUUAGUACGUAAGCAUACUUAUACAGUUUGUCUUCCUUAGAGCCAGUUGUUUUUUUCCCCUCAGUGAUAGGUCAGAUUUAAUUUUGUUUUAACCAAAGCAAAUGCUUUCCUGGAGACCUUCUAUUUUAGUGAAAAUAAGUAAUGAAAAAAUAACUGAAACAAGUCACAGUAUCAAAAGGAAAGACCUUAGAAAGCUUAGUGGUGACUCUUUCUUUUUCUGUUUCCUUUCCCAUCCUCCUGUUGCCAGUGAAGAAAGAGAAAUGAAAAUUCUGAGUUUGCUUUUCAAUUAAGUAACAAGAAUGACUCAAAGUUUAUGAAACAUGGAGGGUUUUCAUUGAAAAUGCUUGCUACUUUUCAAUUUUGUGUCUUGCCUAGGUUCACCCUACUCGUCAUAUUGCCAACCUCCUGUUUUCCUUUCCCUUCUCCUCCUACCAGCUCUGCAGUUUACCACUCUAGGGUGAGAAGAGCUGCUCCCAGCAUGCUAAUUUUGCCACUGAGCAGGCUCAUCUGUAUCUUGUAAAAGGGAGAUUACCACACUCUGCUUCUGCGGUAGGAGAGGACUUCUGGCACUGGGGCUCCCGGUGCUGUCCCUGCUGUGCCAGGACCACAGUGACGGUCUUCAGAAGAAUAAGGGGAAAAAAGCCCCAGCUGCAACUUCAAGGAAUGGCUCAAUGUGCUAUUCAUGGCUUGAGAGAACAGCAUUGCUAUCCAUAGUGGCAGUUUGUGAGUGUGAACCUUCUUAGAUGGUUCUCAUGCUCAGUUUUCUGUGCUGCAGCUCGUUAGCAGGAGAGCUGCCUGCGGGGCUGCGUCAGGUUUGCAGUACAACAGGAUAUGCACUAAAAUAAAAAUCUGGUUAGGGGUGGUGUGAUUCCAGUGCUGGCUGGGCACUGGCAAUUAAGCCUGGAUGAAAAUAAGACACCUGGACUUUGUAACUCCUGGGAUGUGACAUACCACUUGCUGAGGGCCAUCACUGCCCAGGAAAGCACUAAAGCAGGUGUAUAAAUCCUACUGUGUUCAGUGGGAUUUAGGCACCUGCUUAAAUUUAAGUGCUUGUUUAGAGAGUUUCCUGAAUGAAAGCCUGACAAUUGUGCCCAAGAGUAACUUUUAAAUUAGUUUUAAUUUGCUCAUCAUAACCAGCUGUCAUGACUCUAUGUAAAAAGGGUUUGAUUUUGGAAAGAUGAAAGACUUCUCAGGUCCUUGGCUUUCAUGUAAGCACCCUUCCUGGAUGGCCAGCACCCUGGUCAGCUGAAGCAGCUCUGCUUUUAUUCAUCCUUGCUCUGUGGUCCCACUGGGGCUGUGGUGUUAGCUGAGCACUCUGCAAAGCAAACUGCCCUGCCAGCAACUGACAUCACCCGACUGUGCCUCUCCAGCCAUGUCCCAUCUGAGGCAAUCUGCAGGAUGAAACAGAGGAAGAGAGAGUCCACUCUGUAUUUAGGAGGUUCCAAGUCAGCCGUGUCAAGAUUUGAACAAGAAUCAAGGAGGAUAAUAGGUCAGAUGUAAUUAAGAGGUCUCCAAGGAGCUCUGGGACAACCAGGGCACUGCCAGCUGCUGUGUGAGAGCUGGAGCCUGCCACAGCGUGAGAGGGGCCAGCAGUGAGAAACGGGCUGCCUGCACAAGUCUGAAGGUUUAGCUCUGCCAGAGGUUAGAAAAGAGGUUGUUUGUCUGAAGAGACACGGGUGUGGUGAAAAUACUCGGUGCCGGCCAAGUGAACCAAAACACUAUCUGAAUUACAAAGCAGGCUGGAAAAUAAAAUGUAACUGUCGGAAGAUCUGGACCCGACCUGUGCUGAGAGACAGAUAGAAAAGAAGUCACAGGAGCUGGCCGUGUACAUCUGGAGACAGGACACAACUCUCACACUGAAUUAGGCGCAUUUGGAUAGUUUUUUAAAAUCUCCAUGGGUAACAAACAGAGAAGACUUUUUCCCUCACACUGGCCUGGACUGAACACUUGGUGGGCAGUAACAUGUGAACUCUGACCACAUCACUGGUGUGAAAUUGCUGAUUAACCUUUUGACUCUGACAAUUGGGACUUCUCUCAACACCAACUGUUUCUUCAAAGUUCUUUUUAGAGCACUAUGCAAAGAAAGAGAAAGAAAUUCUCCACUCUAUGUGUGAACACAUCUGCUAUUAAUGCUGAGGGGAGUUAAGUGUCUGCUUCUACAGGAGAAUUCACCCCAGUGUUCUAUACUGAAAGGACACUUCAAAAGAGCAGUGCCCACAUAAGAAACAGCAAACUGCUCUUCAGAGGCAAUAUCCUGAUAUGACAACAGACGUAGAUAAUGUACUUCAUGAUGGAACUGCUUGAUACAGAGAGAAACAUGUUGUAACUGCCUUCACCAUGAAAGGGGUUUAAAAAUGCUGCCUGCCAACUCCACAAAAACCAGAGCUGCUAUUUCAGUUAAAGGCCAGUGGAUUGUAUUUUUCACGUCAGUUUUCACUAACCUCAAACAUCACUGUUAUGACAGACUGUCAUCCAACCAAACCAGCACUCUGGUGCCAUUCAAGCAAGCAGGAAGAAAGCAAACACAAGGAAACUUAGAAGUCCAAUUAAGGUUGGAACCCAAUUUAUCCAGAAGCUGGGAGGACCUGAACUGGCUCUAGCAGUUCUGAAAGACAGAAAAAGCAACAGAACUUUCCUCUAACAAAACUGGUACAUUCAAGGAGAAGCUGCAGGAAUCAGUCUAAGUUACCACUGAUGAUGAAAUGUCAAACCAUUCUGGCAGGCACUUGUUCAGUCUUAAGGAGCUUUAAAUUACUUCACAGCUUGAGAUUCCAGACAAUCAGGCUACCAGGACCCAUGAUGCUGAUAUGAAAGAGGACUGACUUCAAGGAUGUUGAGAAAGAAGAUAGAAAUUUCCAUCUUCACUGUUCAGGUUCUUCCUUUACAGGGGUUCCUUCAGCUACACAACUAGGAGAUUGUUCCUGUGAAUCCUAAACUUCAGAUAGGAGAUUGAUACCAGAAGGCACAACCAUUUGAAGAUGAGGUCUGAGGUCUGAUACACAGCUACUGCUGUGGAGAUUUAGUUGGAAGAAUAUGUAUUUGCUGGAGAGUGUUCUUCAGAUGACCCAACAGACCUCACGGCUGCCAGGAUUCAUUCUGUUGGGAUUACGGGUCUCUCCCAUUUCUGCUUUUCUCUAUGAUGUUCUUUCUCUCUGGGGCUCGCCUUUCAUAAGGAGCUACACUCAGCAGAGGACUAACCUUAUCUGAUGGCUCUUUGGAACAAGUGCUGUAACACUUGCCCAUCUAUUAGUAUAAAAAUUUUCUUAAAACUCAGAAAAUGAAGAAUGAAUUAGUUCUCAGAAUGUCUGCACAUGGGUUGAAGUGAAAUUUAUGCAUUUACUGAACUCCUGUUUGAGAGAUGUGUCUGGGGUCAAGAAAAGGUUAAAGUUGUUUACUGCCUUCAAGCCCUGGUCUUAGAAGUUAAUUCAGAGCUGUGGUGUGAGUGGCUACAGAGAAUAAGUCCUUGGAGCAGUGAAUUGCUGGUAUGAUGUCAAGGUCCAUGGGCCUUAAUAAUAAAAUUAGUUUGUUUCUUAAGGAAAUCCUAGCAGAGACUUUAUAGUUAUAUAAAGUCAUUACACUGUUUUACAACAUAACUUUAAAGAUGCUUUGGAAUGAUUAGAGUUUGUGGGAAGGGAUCAUGUUUUUAUUAUUUGUGGAAUAUCCUCAAGCUGUCAUAGCUACAGCACUGCCACUUGGAAUAGCUGCUCCACAGUUCAAAAGAAAAGACAAAGGAUCUUUUGAAGCCUAAGUCAGGCAAAUAGGGCAUAUCUGUCCAGAGAAAGCUUGUUGAAUGGAAUGGAUCCCAUGUACUUCCUGUCAAUUGAUUCCAAUUUUGUAGGAGCUGGAUAUUUGGGGUAAUCAAGGUAUUUUACUACAAUUCUACAAGAGCAGAUAAGAGAGCCUAUGAAGUUCUACGCUCUGCUUUUCACAGUUCUCUGUUGGAGGAUUUAGGGGUGAGCAAUUUUAAAAGUCAUAGAAAAGGAAGAAGGCAUACUUUUCAAAACGUCAAGAUUCUGUGAAUGUAAAGACAGAGGAAACACUAAACGAGACAAAAACUUUCCACCCUCUGCACAGCACUGCUGGUAAGAAUAACACUGCAUUUCUGCUCUGCUAACGCUAAGGCAACACCCUCCUCCAAUGCAGAAGGGAGACAAGGAACCACUGAUUUGGGAGGAGGGGAACAUGCCAUGGACAGGUUCACUCUCCCCAGCCUACUGUCCCUGUGGCACAGAGGGAAGUGGGGCUUCUGGAAGAGACUGGUGGUACAAGCACUGUAGGGCCCCACUUUCCUCCUUUUCUGUGAACUCUGCCUAACUGUUUCUGUGAAAGAAAGCAUCAAGCCCCAUCUUGUUCAUAGAAAUACAACGUAUUUUAAAGCCAUAGUUAAUGGAUAAACUAUUUUCUGAUUGGAGGGGCCACACAAUAAAUCUCUUCCCGAGCCAAGUGCAAUGCAGCUUAUUCAGUUACAGUGAAAUAAGCCACUGUCACUUUGCUGCACUUGCAUACAUCAGGCAAAAUACUUCCAUCUUCAUCAGCCUUGUAGUGAAACAGAAAUAAAACAAUUGUAACAGAAUGGUGUCACUGGAUCUGUGGCACCUGCUUUAAAAAUAAAUCUCUUAGCUUUGUCUUCACUAUUACUUUCAAUAAAUGUCCUAGCAUUGCCACAGCAUUUAUCUAGCAGCAGGAAACCAUUAUACUAUGACAACAAUCUAUUCCAUUAACAUUAGCUCUUAAUUGUAAGACUGUUUAUAAGACAGCAAAAGCUACUGAAUCAUAGUAGAAUGAUAAAAAGAGUUAUGGUCGUGGAGUACAGGAGUCGCUCCAGUUUUGAAAAACAAGAAGAGUAGAGAGUUAUAUUUUUGUAUGAAAAAUAAUGUAAUAUUCUUACGCAAUACAAUGUUUUCAAAUAAUGGAUUACAUCCUCAAGUAACUAUUAAAGAGUUAAUGUUAAAAACUGUUACUAAGAAACUCUUUGAUAAAUGGUAGAGUUAAAAAACUGAAUAGAAAGCUUAGAAACUCUCCUUCUUGCUUUCAGCAAGGCUGCAUCUAUUCAAACAGAGAAAUCAUCAUAACAUUUGUCUGGCGGAGAGAGCAGAAGGAAUGUUGCAGAAUUGAGAUAUGAAGAACCUCACUGCAGAAUAGAAGGAGAACUGUCAUUCUGAUCGUUUGUCAUUAUUGUUUCAUGUCCAGUUAAGUGAACUUAUAGUGACAGUUGUGUCAUAACUACUGGCAUCUAUGUAAAUUUCAAAUCAAAUAUGAUAGAGGCAUUUCUGCCAGAUGCAAGUCACCAGGCUGCUCUUCCUCUUUAUUUUUGUAGCCCUUCAUUUUCUUAUACUGUGCUGGUAGCUCUCAAAUUAAAAAGACAACUUAAGGGGA